rnacentral:rRNA from 1 species
UACGUAGGUGGCAAGCGUUGUCCGGAUUUACUGGGCGUAAAGAGCGCGCAGGCGGUCGUUCAAGUCGCGUGUGAAAGCCCCCGGCUCAACUGGGGAGGGUCACGCGAUACUGAUCGACUCGAAGGCAGGAGAGGGUAGUGGAAUUCCCGGUGUAGUGGUGAAAUGCGUAGAUAUCGGGAGGAACACCAGUGGCGAAGGCGGUCCACUGGGCAUCAACUGACGCUGAGGCGCGAAAGCGUGGGUAGCAAACAGG